UGCAGUCGAACGGUAGCACAGAGAGCUUGCUCUCGGGUGACGAGUGGCGGACGGGUGAGUAAUGUCUGGGAAACUGCCUGAUGGAGGGGGAUAACUACUGGAAACGGUAGCUAAUACCGCAUAACGUCGCAAGACCAAAGAGGGGGACCUUCGGGCCUCUUGCCAUCAGAUGUGCCCAGAUGGGAUUAGCUAGUAGGUGGGGUAACGGCUCACCUAGGCGACGAUCCCUAGCUGGUCUGAGAGGAUGACCAGCCACACUGGAACUGAGACACGGUCCAGACUCCUACGGGAGGCAGCAGUGGGGAAUAUUGCACAAUGGGCGCAAGCCUGAUGCAGCCAUGCCGCGUGUAUGAAGAAGGCCUUCGGGUUGUAAAGUACUUUCAGCGGGGAGGAAGGCGAUGAGGUUAAUAACCUCGUCGAUUGACGUUACCCGCAGAAGAAGCACCGGCUAACUCCGUGCCAGCAGCCGCGGUAAUACGGAGGGUGCAAGCGUUAAUCGGAAUUACUGGGCGUAAAGCGCACGCAGGCGGUCUGUCAAGUCGGAUGUGAAAUCCCCGGGCUU
rnacentral:rRNA from 1 species